GCCAGGCAUGCUGAUGCAUGCCUGUAAUCCCAGUUACUCAGGAGGCUGAGGCAGGAGAAUCACUUGAACCUGGGAGGUGGAGGUUGCAGUGAGCUGAGAUUGCACCACUGCACUCCAGCCUGAGUGACAGAGUGAGACCCUGUCUCAA
rnacentral:SRP_RNA from 1 species